rnacentral:siRNA from 1 species
UGUUAUUUGGAUGCUGCU